rnacentral:rRNA from 1 species
AUGACGCACCGAGAUGGUCUGUUUCCAUAUGAGACAGUACGACGAUCCAAUCAUAUGUCCAGGAGACCAUGGCCGGCCACCCCAGCAAAGAUAGAUACUGCUACUGAUGGCAUCGAAAAUCGUGCACCAGAUUAUUUCCUCCCCUUCUUCAUAUCUGCACAUUGUAUAGCAACAUUGUUGAUCCUCUCUCUCUCUCUCUCUCUCUCUCUCUCUCUCUCUCUCUUGAUUCUCUCUCUCCCCCCCUGUUUCAGACAGCAGCAACAAGCAGUAGCAGUAGUCCUUUGCACAGUCUACACUUCUCUGCGUGCAGUUUAUAAAAGCUUGGGGAAGAAAGAAAAGAAAGAAAGAGAGGGGGCCAUGAAUGAAUGCCUGCAUUGCUCCUCCUCAUACUAUCAUCUAUCUCAUCUCCUCUCCUCUCCAUGGAUGGAUGGGAAAGGGGCGCAGCGCAUAGAUAGGGAGGGGCCAUGGCCAUCAUUGUUCACGCUCUGCUUCACGAGCAAUGUCUGA